UGGGGAAUAUUGGACAAUGGGGGAAACCCUGAUCCAGCAACGCCGCGUGAGUGAAGAAGGUUUUAGGAUCGUAACACUCUCUCCAGAGGGAAGAAGAAAUGACUGUACCUCUGGAGGAAGCCCCGGCUAAUUACGUGCCAGCAGCCGCGGUAAUACGUAAGGGGCAAGCGUUGUCCGGAAUAACUGGGCGUAAAGGGUGCGUAGGUGGUAUUUUAAGUCAGAUGUGAAAGGCUUCUGCUCAACAGGAGACAAGCAUUUGAAACUGGGAUACUUGAGUGUAGGAGAGGAAAGCGGAAUUCCUGGUGUAGCGGUGAAAUGCGUAGAGAUCAGGAGGAACACCGGUGGCGAAGGCGGCUUUCUGGACUAUAACUGACACUGAGGCACGAAAGCGUGGGGAGCAAACAGG
rnacentral:rRNA from 2 species